rnacentral:rRNA from 1 species
CCAGAAAUGGCUAAGCUGAUCCAGCCAUGCCGCGUGUGUGAGAAGGUCUUCGGAUUGUAAAGCACUUUAAGUUGGGAGGAAGGGCAGUUACCUAAUACGUGAUUGUUUUGACGUUACCGACAAAAUAAGCACCGGCUAACUCUGUGCCAGC